UCUGGGUGUGGUGGCCCACGCCUGUGAUCCCAGCUACCUAGGAGGCUGAGGCAGGGUGACCAUAAGUUCAGAGCCCACUUGGGCAACUAACUUAGCAAGACCCUGACUCAA
rnacentral:sRNA from 1 species